rnacentral:tRNA from 1 species
GGGAGUGUGGUUCAGUGGUAGAACAUUUGCCCAACAGGCAGAAGUCCUAGGUUUGAUACAUAGCAUUCCCA